AGAUUGAUGAUGACUCCCUCAACCACAUUCCUUGGAAAGCUGAACAAACUGAGAACUCCACUACCGUCAUUCUCAUCAGUGCU
rnacentral:snoRNA from 1 species